UACGAAAGGGGCUAGCGUUGUUCGGAAUUACUGGGCGUAAAGCGCACGCAGGCGGCCUUGUAAGAUGGGGGUGAAAUCCCUGGGCUCAACCCAGGAACUGCCUUCAUGACUGCAAAGCUCGAGGAUGUGAGAGGUUGGCGGAAUUCCGAGUGUAGAGGUGAAAUUCGUAGAUAUUCGGAAGAACACCGGUGGCGAGGGCGGCCAACUGGCCCGUUUCUGACGCUCAGGCACGAAAGCGUGGGGAGCAAACACG
rnacentral:rRNA from 1 species